GGUAGUUUUUUUGUGAAAAUUAUUGCAAGUUCUCAGACUUGAUUUACAAAUUAUGUUUUAACUGUUGGUAGUUUAUUUGUGGGUUAAAUUAUUGAUAUUAUUGUUCUCUCUGAUGAGAAUGGAUGUGUUGACUUAAGUAAUUUGUGGAAUUCCAUGCAACUGUGAUAUUUUUUUCCGGUGAUUGUCUUUCAGAUGUUUGAGAUAGCGAUGUGCUUGGCCAUAGAUUAUGAGUUGCUUUCUAGGUAGUUUCUGCGUCUAUUCAGUUUUUUCCGGUAAUUGUCUUUCAGAUGUUUGAGAUAAUGAGUCUUAAUUCAUCGAAAAAAAUGGAAGCAUGAAGCUCAUGAGUUGCUUUCUAGAUUGGUGGAGGUGAGGUUCAGACAGGUAUGCAGGACGACAAUUGCAGUGCAUUGGAGUUCCUGUCCACUUGCAAAUUGGCGAACCUAACAGUGAAGGCAGAGCUUGGUUGUUGCUUGCUUCAUAGAAGUGGAAGGCUAACUAUAGAUGGCUGCAUCCUUCAAUGUGAGUCAAACCCUUUGGACUAUCUCUCAUGCCCAAUCGUGACUACAGUUGGGGGGAGUGAGAUUUUCUCCUCCUCUGUGAAGACUAGUUGUGAUGGUGUUUCUGUUUCUCAAACUCGGAUAGAAGGGGGUUCCAAGGCUGUUGUUACAAGUGGGAAGCUGGCUUUGCAGCGAGUUCGAGUCAUCUGUUCUCGAACUUGUGUUUAUUUCUGGUUUGAUGUAGAAGAUAACUGAUGACAUCUCAAGCUAGCCUGUAACAUAAUGAACCUAGCUUUUUAUUUAUUCUCAUUGUUGAAUUGAUUCUGAAUAUAAAUGCUUUCAUUCAAGAUAA